rnacentral:rRNA from 1 species
AUGCAUAGGUUUCAAAAGAGGUGUGAGAAGGUAGGAGACACAAGCUUUGACCCUUUGGUGUAUGAGGAUUUUGAUUGGGGCAAUGAGUGGGUCGACCCAACAAUACCACUACCUCAAGGUGCUCGUGGGUGUCCUCAUGACAUCUCGUGGGAGGAUGUUGAUGUGGCUGUUGGUGCAUCCACGAACCUUCAAGGUUGCAAUCUUCCUAGGACAGGUACUACACUUCGAAGGGGGCCUUCAGCUGUCCAUGUACAGUUUAAAAGACAUCGCAAGAGACCUACAGCAACACGUCCAGCAUUGCUUGAAGAAGAUUGGGAAGAGGAGGACUUGGAGCAAGAGCAACACUCAAGUAACCCCAGGCGCAAUGAAGAGGAGGAUGAUUCAGACUAUGUGCAGGAUGAUGAUGAUGUGAGCAAUGAUGAUGAAGAUCCAACCAAUGAUGACCAAGAUGGUGAAGAAAACACCAAUGCCACCAUGGAUGAGUUUGAUGACGGUUAUUGA